rnacentral:rRNA from 1 species
GGCUCAGGAUGAACGCUAGCGGCAGGCCUAACACAUGCAAGUCGAGGGGCAGCACGGUGUAGCAAUACACUGGUGGCGACCGGCGCACGGGUGCGUAACGCGUAUGCAACCUACCCAUAACAGGGGGAUAACACUGAGAAAUUGGUACUAAUACCCCAUAACAUCAGGACCGGCAUCGGUUCUGGUUGAAAACUCCGGUGGUUAUGGAUGGGCAUGCGUUGUAUUAGCUGGUUGGUGAGGUAACGACUCACCAAGGCAACGAUACAUAGGGGGACUGAGAGGUUAACCCCCCACAUUGGUACUGAGACACGGACCAAACUCCUACGGGAGGCAGCAGUGAGGAAUAUUGGUCAAUGGACGCAAGUCUGAACCAGCCAUGCCGCGUGCAGGAAGACGGCUCUAUGAGUUGUAAACUGCUUUUGUACGAGGGUAAACGCUCUUACGUGUAAGAGCCUGAAAGUAUCGUACGAAUAAGGAUCGGCUAACUCCGUG